UACAGAGGUGGCGAGCGUUGUUCGGAUUUAUUGGGCGUAAAGGGUGCGUAGGUGGUAAGGUAAGUUGGAUGUGGAAUUCCACAGCUCAACUGGGGAAUGGCAUCCAAAACUACCUUACUUGAGGAUCUGGGAAGAGAGUGGAAUUCUCGGUGUAGCGGUGAAAUGCGUAGAUAUCGAGAAGAACACCAGUGGCGAAGGCGAGUCUCUGGACAACUCCUGACGCUGAGGCACGAAAGCUAGGGGAGCAAACAGGAUUAGAAACCCGGGUAGU
rnacentral:rRNA from 1 species